UGGGGAAUAUUGCACAAUGGGCGCAAGCCUGAUGCAGCGACGCCGCGUGGGGGAUGAAGGCCUUCGGGUUGUAAACUCCUUUCGCUAGGGAAGAAGCCACUUGUGGUGACGGUACCUGGAUAAGAAGCACCGGCUAACUACGUGCCAGCAGCCGCGGUAAUACGUAGGGUGCGAGCGUUGUCCGGAAUUACUGGGCGUAAAGAGCUCGUAGGUGGUUUGUCGCGUCGUCUGUGAAAUUCCGGGGCUUAACUUCGGGCGUGCAGGCGAUACGGGCAUAACUAGAGUGCUGUAGGGGAGACUGGAAUUCCUGGUGUAGCGGUGAAAUGCGCAGAUAUCAGGAGGAACACCGAUGGCGAAGGCAGGUCUCUGGGCAGUUACUGACGCUGAGGAGCGAAAGCAUGGGUAGCGAGCAGGAUUAGAUACCCUGGUAGUCCAUGCCGUAAACGGUGGGCGCUAGGUGUGGGGGUUUUAUUUACGAUUCCCGUGCCGUAGCUAACGCAUUAAGCGCCCCGCCUGGGGAGUACGGCCGCAAGGCUA
rnacentral:rRNA from 1 species